rnacentral:rRNA from 1 species
UUGAUCCUGGCUCAGAACGAACGCUGGCGGCAGGCCUAACACAUGCAAGUCGAGCGCGCCCUUCGGGGUGAGCGGCGGACGGGUGAGUAACGCGUGGGAAUAUGCCCUUCUCUACGGAAUAGUCCUGGGAAACCGGGGGUAAUACCGUAUACGCCCUUUGGGGGAAAGAUUUAUCGGAGAAGGAUUAGCCCGCGUUGGAUUAGGUAGUUGGUGGGGUAAUGGCCUACCAAGCCUACGAUCCAUAGCUGGUUUGAGAGGAUGAUCAGCCACACUGGGACUGAGACACGGCCCAGACUCCUACGGGAGGCAGCAGUGGGGAAUCUUAGACAAUGGGGGCAACCCUGAUCUAGCCAUGCCGCGUGAGUGAUGAAGGCCUUAGGGUUGUAAAGCUCUUUCAGCUGGGAAGAUAAUGACGGUACCAGCAGAAGAAGCCCCGGCUAACCUCCGUGCCAGCAGCCGCGGUAAUACGGAGGGGGCUAGCGUUGUUCGG